rnacentral:rRNA from 1 species
UACGUAGGGGGCAAGCGUUGUCCGGAAUCAUUGGGCGUAAAGCGCGUGUAGGCGGCUGAGUAAGUCUGCUCUGAAAGCCCGGGGCUCAACCCCGGGAGGCGGGUGGAUACUGCUCAGCUCGAGUCCGGAAGAGGAGUGUGGAAUUCCUGGUGUAGCGGUGAAAUGCGCAGAUAUCAGGAGGAACACCGGUGGCGAAGGCGGCCUUCUGGACAGUGACUGACGCUGAGACGCGAAAGCGUGGGGAGCAAACAGG